GACGAACGCUGGCGGCGUGCUUAACACAUGCAUGUGGUGCGACGAACCAGGGCUUGCCCUGGGGCAAAGCCGCGAACGGGCGAGUAACACGUGAGUAACCUGCCCCGAUGACCGGGACAACCCGAGGAAACUCGGGCUAAUACCGGAUGUGGUACACGGACUUAAGCCUGUGUACUAAAGGAAGCUUCGGCCUCCGCAUUGGGAGGGGCUCGCGGCCCAUUAGCUUGUUGGUGGGGUAACGGCCUACCAAGGCAACGAUGGGUAGCUGGUCGGGAGUGACGAUAAGCCACGCUGGGACGGAGACACGGCCCAGACUCCUACGGGAGGCAGCAGUGGGGAAUCUUGAGCAAUGCGCGAAAGCGUGACGCAGCAGCGCCGCGUGAGGGAAGACGGCCUUCGGGUUGUAAACCUCUUUCAGGAGGGACGAAGGUUCGCCGGUGAAUAGCCGUGCGGAUUGACGGUACCUCCAGAAGAAGCUCCGGCUAACUACGUGCCAGCCGCCGCAGUAAAAC
rnacentral:rRNA from 1 species